UUAAGCCAUGCGAGUCGAACGAGUUUAGGCUCGUGGCGUACGGCUCAGUAACACGUGGAUAACCUACCCUUAGGACUGGGAUAACCCUGGGAAACUGGGGAUAAUACUAGAUAGGCAAUUUUUCCUGGAAUGGUUUUUUGUUUAAAUGUUUUUUCGCCUAAGGAUGGGUCUGCGGCCGAUUAGGUAGUUGGUUAGGUAACGGCUUACCAAGCCAUUGAUCGGUACGGGUUGUGAGAGCAAGAGCCCGGAGAUGGAACCUGGGACAAGGUUCCAGGCCCUACGGGGUGCAGCAGGCGCGAAACCUCCGCAAUGUGAGAAAUCGCGACGGGGGGAUCCCAAGUGCCAUUCUUAACGGGAUGGCUUUUCAUUAGUGUAAAGAGCUUUUGGAAUAAGGGCUGGGCAAGACCGGUGCCAGCCGCCGCGGUAU
rnacentral:rRNA from 1 species